rnacentral:lncRNA from 1 species
UGAAAAUGUUCAUAAAUUUUCUUAAGUAACAAAUUGUGCUUUUAUCUGUAUCUUCAGCCUUUCAAUAUACAAAGAGGACUUGCAAAGUCACUUCAGCAUUUCUGUAAAAGCCCAAAUGUAAACGAAAAGUAAAUACAAACGCCAGGAGUCUCUUAAAAUUCAACAAAUGUGUCCUCUACCCACUCUUCUUUGCUUGAAUUGGGUUCUUUGUGUCCUCAUUUCCCCCAGCCUUGGCCAAGUGCAUUUUCUUGCUCACCAGGGCCCUGAAGAUGAUGAUACAAUGGUGCAUUCACGGUGGUGGCAUAUGCAGAACUAUGGGUCAAGGUCCGCUCAUUGUUUCCUUGGGGCAACUAUUCGAGGGAGUGAGUUCCACUUGUCCUUAAGGAUGGACACUACAGACUUUUGACCCUCUCAAUGCCUAAUAUAGCCAUUUUUCUUAUUUCUAGUAUAGACAUGGUCCAUGUCAUACUACACACGUUAAACAGUACAUUAGGAAAAA